rnacentral:ncRNA from 2 species
UAAGUUCUUCAGGGCGGGGCGAGAUUCCCCACCGGCGGUAACCCGAAAGGGAAGCCCGCAAGCCCGCAAGGGCAGACCCGGUUAAAUUCCGGGGCCGACGGUAAAGUCCGGAUGAAAGAAGAACGCG